rnacentral:rRNA from 1 species
AGCAGCCGCGGUAAUUCCAGCUCCAAUAGCGUAUAUUAAAGUUGUUGCAGUUAAAAAGCUCGUAGUUGAAUUUCGGGGUUAGUAGGUUGGUCAUGCCUCUGGUAUGUACUGGUCUCACUGAUUCCUCCUUCCUGAUGAGCCGUAAUGCCAUUAAUUUGGUGUUGCGGGGAAUUUGGACUGUUACUUUGAAAAAAUUAGAGUGUUUAAAGCAAGCUAACGCUUGAAUACAUUAGCAUGGAAUAAUGAAGUAGGACGUUCGAUCCUAUUUUGUUGGUUUCUAGGAUUGACGUAAUGAUUAAUAGGGAUAGUUGGGGGCAUUAGUAUUCAAUUGUCAGAGGUGAAAUUCUUGGAUUUAUUGAAGACUAACUACUGCGAAAGCAUUUGCCAAGGAUGUUUUCAUUAAUCAAGAACGAAAGUUAGGGGAUCGAAGACGAUCAGAUACCGUCGUAGUCUUAACCAUAAACUAUGCCGACUAGGGGUCGGAUGAUGUUAAAUUUUUUUUAAUGUACUCAUUCGGCGC